rnacentral:rRNA from 1 species
CCUACGGGAGGCAGCAGUGAGGAAUAUUGGUCAAUGGACGAGAGUCUGAACCAGCCAAGUAGCGUGAAGGAUGACUGCCCUAUGGGUUGUAAACUUCUUUUAUAUGGGACUAAAAUGUUCCACGUGUGGGUUUUUGUAUGUACCAUAUGAAUAAGGAUCGGCUAACUCCGUGCCAGCAGCCGCGGUAAUACGGAGGCUCCGAGCGUUAUCCGGAUUUAUUGGGUUUAAAGGGUGCGUAGGUGGAUUGUUAAGUCAGUUGUGAAAGUUUGCGGCUCAACCGUAAAAUUGCAGUUGAAACUGGCAGUCUUGAGUACAGUAGAGGUAGGCGGAAUUCGUGGUGUAGCGGUGAAAUGCUUAGAUAUCACGAAGAACUCCGAUUGCGAAGGCAGCUCACUGGACUGCAACUGACACUGAGGCUCGAAAGUGUGGGUAUCAAACAGGAUUAGAUACCCGAGUAGUC